rnacentral:rRNA from 2 species
UACGGAGGGUGCAAGCGUUAUCCGGAUUUACUGGGUUUAAAGGGUGCGUAGGUGGGUAGGUAAGUCAGUGGUGAAAUCUUCGAGCUUAACUCGGAAACUGCCAUUGAUACUAUUUAUCUUGAAUACUUUGGAGGUAAGCGGAAUAUGUCAUGUAGCGGUGAAAUGCUUAGAUAUGACAUAGAACACCAAUUGCGAAGGCAGCUUACUACACAGUCAUUGACACUGAGGCACGAAAGCGUGGGGAUCAAACAGG